rnacentral:sRNA from 1 species
AUCGAUAUUUAUCACUUUUUACGUAAGUGGCACUGGACAAACGCCACAGCAAUUGCUGUACUUAAUAGCGACACAGUUAAGUGUCCAUUUUCAAGUAAAGGUAAUUUAGAUGUCCAAGAUUAAAGGUAGCGUUAAGUGGUUUAAUGAAUCUAAAGGAUUCGGUUUCAUUACUCCUGAAGAUGGCAGCAAAGAUGUAUUCGUACACUUCUCUGCUAUCCAGAGCAACGGUUUCAAAACACUGGCAGAAGGCCAGACUGUUGAAUUUGAAAUCACUGAUGGCCCGAAAGGUCCUUCUGCCACUAACGUUAUCAGCGCAUAACCUUCUGGCACAGAUUCUAAAAACCUGCCGUUUGGCGGGUUUUUUUUU